UCCAGUCCACCGGUAUCGUCUCGGCGAGACGGCGACGGCCGAGGCCCGAGGCAGAGCGCGGCGGAGGGCGCGGAGGCGAAAAUCCACUCCGCGCGGGGGCUCAACGAGUCAACGGCGUGAGAGAAGCGAGGCUCCGGGCCCUGCUGCUCGGACGUCGUCGGCGGAGGAAGCGCGGAGGAGGCGAACCCCGCAGUGGUCAGGCCGGUAAAGGCAAUCGCGGGCAGUCAACAGUGAGUGCUCCUCUUCUGAACUUUUCCUUUUUGGUUGAAUUACCCCCUUCUGAGUUGUGAAAUCUGAACUUGAGCGCCUGAAAGUGAAAAUGGAACCACAUUUAUUGCCGUUUGUUGCGGAUUUGUUACUCAUUCUGCAGUGAAGUUAUGACAUAUUAUGCCAUACUGUUGCAUCCUGUAAAAUAUCACUGUCCCUUUUGUUUCUCUCAUUCGGCAAGGAGCAAGAGAACUAAAAAUUUGGUUAAUUGGCACAGUUAUUCAUGAACAGAGGAAAGUUGUAAUUCGAAUAAUUGAGGGUAAUCUCAAUCUAUGCAAUGGAAGAAAACUAGAUAAGUAUUAAAGGAACAAAUAAAGGCUCAUUUCAGAUCCAGGAACUGCAAACCAAAUGGCGAGGUUACCCUUCUGCUUUUGUAUGUAAGGUGACUAUAACUCAGUAUAUAUAUCGGUGGCCAACCCAUGUGCCCGUAGCUGCCCGAAUCUCUACAAAGUUGCACUCUCUAGUCUGAACCACGGCUUGCGUCAUUCCUUUGAAGCUCAUAUAAUUUCUCGAAUCCUGAUUGUUCACAUCUUGUCCUGAAGGUACCCACACAUUUUUGGUUUCCAGAACCAGACAAACCAGAAAUAUGACAGUUGAACUCCUUUUACACUUUCACAACACAGUGAAAUGCUCCAGUGAGCUAUGGUUUUAAGAUAGCUUUGUGGUCCAUAUAUUAUACAGAUGCUCCUAUGCUUCAUGACCUGGAAUUGCUGUCUUUCUAAAAUGAUGAGUCACAGUGGCUAAAAGAUUCCCUUGUUUACUGUUGAAACUUUGCUUUAUUUCUAUCAAUAGAAAGAUAAAAGCGGAAAUAUUUCCUAGUACAGAGUAAUAUCUAAUUGUGGCAUAACUUUCCUUGUAUGGUUUCUUCUCUUUAUGCCGGAAAAAUGCUGGAACUUGUAUUCCACAUGAUAUUUUCCCGUUUGUAAGAAGUCCUAGCAACCUAGAAUGUCAGACUUACGUGUUUUGACUCCAACAUUAAAAAUCUUAAAAGCUAGCAUUGUAAUUCUCUGUUUGUAGUUUCUAUUGCUAUCCUCCAGGUCAGUACGUACAAUAUAAUUGUCUACAAUGGCAGAGAAGCUUUACAUUUGAAAUCAUUGGAAGGGUGGAAGUUAAGUGUAUGAAAAAGAUUAAGUCACCACAUGCAAUUGUUGAAAAUUAAACACUUAGUCCCACCAGGCUAGUUCCAGAUGUCAUUCAUUCCUUGUGUGGUGAACUGGUGAUGGUAUGGUCAUGGUAAGGGGAAAAUUUUUAGCUAUGCAUAGUGUGGUGUUUCCAUCUGAAACUAGUAUCACUUGGACAUUUGCCAGUCAUAGGGAUAUAUUUAUGCCUUCAUGUAGAUGUGAACAAAUUUUCAAACAUAGAUCUGAUUAUUUGGAUAGAGUUACUAUAAUAUACAAUGCUAAUAAGAUACUAAUUAAAAUGGUAAUAUCCUAAGGGGGCAUGAUCCCUAAUGGUAUUUAGGUAGUUUAUACUAGCCUAACUUUCUAACUGCAAAAAGAAUUUAUCACCUUAUAGACGCUUUGCCGAUUUAGAUUUUCUGCCUUACUGCUCAGGAACAGAAUCUGAUAACAUAAUCCUUACAAAAAAACAUAUGAUCAAGAAAUGAAUGCUGGCAGAACCAAAUUGAGACACAACUGUUGUAGAGUGUCCCUAUAAUGUAGGGUUAAUUUGAUCUAGGCUCCUGCAAUUUUGCCGGCUUUUGAAAUAUGCCACUAUAAUGUAUGAUUGGAGCACUCUGCAGAGAGCAUGCUAUUUUCCAUGAUGGUUGCUUUUUGUCCACCAAGACAACACUGAUGACACCAUGAUGAUGGCAAAGGCACCACCCUGUUUUAGUCAUAAUCCAAACCUGCUGCAUAAGAAAAGAGAAUAGAAUAAAUACUGGUGCAGCAAGCUGUGUUUGAAACACAACUUCAAAAUAAGAAAAAGGAAAAUACUGAAAACCUGAAGAAUCUUACACUGUCAUGUGGGGGCACCAUCUAGUUGGUUUGCAGUACCACUAUCCUCUGUCUGCUCCUCAUCCUCUACCAUACCCUCUUCCCCAAAUAUAUGGAUUUCAUGCCUUGGACGGUUAGGAAGGAGAGCUGCUGCCUUUGUAAUGGUGGCCUUGGCAGCCUCCACCUCCCAAACCAUUGCACCCCGACAAUUAAUACUGACCCAGAGACAUUUGAGGGAGGAAAGGAGGCUAAUGCCAAAAUCAAAGUCAGUUCCAUAUGUGGAUACUGUAUCAUGUACAACGAACCUAAACCAAAGCCGGUUAAGCCUUGGCAUUGCACCUGCUUCAAAUAUCAGGCUCAUCAUUCUCUUCUUUGUUUUCAAGUACAUAGAAGGGCGGAAAUGGAAAUCCUCGAGACACUGGAAUCCAUUGGGUCCGAUCAUGAGCGAUUCCUGCGGGCAUUCUGUUGUGAAAAUUUGGAGACAGCGUAGAGCAGGCAAGUCUUUGAGCACAUCAAAAUCUCCGCCUCCCACUUCUUCUAUAAAAAUAACUAAGUUGGUGAGUGCUGAAAGGUAGGAUAUCCACUUUGGGAGCCUAGGGAAAAUUGGACCGUUGUUAGACAUCCGCAUAUGACAUGGAUGAGGGCACAAUGAAUCAAACAAGAAAUCCAUUGAACAACGUUCCGUUGUCUCAAUCCUCAGGGAGUGGAGGUUUCUUUCUCCAAGAUUACAGAAAGAUGAGAUCAGAGAUUUCUUAAAGCUUCCUUCACCAUUAAUUGCAUUACCACCACACCACUUAAUACCAAGAACCUUGAGUUUGGUUAGGUUUCCUAACUCCUGCACAACUUCUGGGGAGUUUUUGCUGGCAUCCAACAUUGAAAGUUCCUCUAGGGCUGUCAUGCCACCAAUCCCAUUUGGCAAUCCUACACCAUUAGGGACACAUAGGCGCACUAAUUGGUGUAGUUGAACAAUAGUUGCUGGGAGUUCUUUUAUUGUGGUAGCUCUGAGAUCGAGUGUUUGCAAAUGUUGUAACCUUCCAAUUUGGAUUGGGAUCUUACCGACAUUGCUGUUAUAGAGACUUAUAUACCUCAAGUGGCUCAAACUUCCAAUAUUCUCAAUGUCUCUGUCCUCUAGACUAGGACAGUUUUGUAUAUCUAGGACCCGUAAAAUGUGGAAGUUCAAGAGAGAUGGUAUCUUCCCAACAUCACCAAAUACAGUAAAUGACCGAACUUGAGACAACCUGUUCGCCCCUAACCAGAGACUUUGUGCUUCACAGUUUCCCUGGAGCGAGAGACGCCGAAUUUUGUUAGUCGAAGGUGUCAACUUAUGAUCAGCCAUUAUAGUAACAAAAUUUUCUUUAGCUGCUAAUGAUAUAAUAAGCUCAAACAUUAUAUCAUGUACCCGGCAAGCUCUUGGCCUUCCACUAUAGUCAGUGCCUACUGGUUCGAUCAUGUUUCUAUUGAUGAGCUCGCUGAAGUAGUUUUCUGCAGUAUCCACUAAGUUUUGUCCUUGUUGUUCUGCAACAAAUCCUUCGGCUAUCCAUUUCCUUAUUAAACACAACCGGCCUAUCACAUGAUCUUCUGGAAAUAUACUUAGAUCCAAGAAACAUAUCUUCAAAUAGUGGGGUAGAUCACAAUAGCUAAGAAACAAUAUCCUUUUAACAAGUUCCAGCUCAUGAUCUUGUUCAAGUGCAGAUCCAAGAGAGUUUCGCACCCUCUCCCACUCGCUUUUAGAGAUUGGUUUAGUUGCUAAUAGGCUAGCAAUAUUAACUAUAGCUAGUGGCAAACCAUGACAUUUCCUUAGUAUAUCAUCAGUAACUUCUUUCAAUUCAAGAGGGCAAUCAUCUUUGUAGUAGAAGAUUCUUUUCAAGAACAAGCUUCUUGAGUCGUCACUAUCAAGGGGCAUCAUAUGGUAAACAUAUUCUUUGUGUGGAAAGCUGCAAUAAUUAGCAACAUCUUCAAUUCGUGUAGUUGUGAUUAUUUUACUUGCAUUAUUGUUUUGGGGGAAAGCACAUUGGACUUCUUUCCAAGCUUGUUUGCUCCAUAGAUCAUCAAUUACGACAAGGUACCUAUCAGGCAAUUUGGUGAAGAAGAAGCAUUGCAUUAGUAGCAAUCCAAGGAAUGUGUCCAAUCACCAUUGAAUAAAUAAAGAAAACUUGAUGUAAGGGUAGAUAAGGAACUAUGGAUUCGAUAAAUAGCAUACUGCCAUGCAGGCAUACAUGAGCAUCCUUCGACAGACUUUAGAAAUCUACAUGUUACUGCUACAACUCUAAAGACACAGAUCCUAACGCCCAAACAUAUGCUGCCACUUAGCCAACAGGGCAUUUGCAAUAGUGUGCAUAUUAUUGGGAAGGUACUUUAUCGAGCAGUGCCAAAUCCAUUACUUGAAGUGUGUGGUUAAAUGUGUGCUCUAACAAUUUUUUUCUAUGGACCAGGUCUUCAAAUCUGAAUGAUGUUUCCUGUUUUUUUUCUAAAAAAGUAGUUUGAUCUAGUAAAUGUUGGGUAUUCUGGAGUAAACUAGGGGAAACUCAGUUGAACCUGAAUUAUGUCUUGUUUCAAGCACCAUUUGAACCUUUCUUUACUUUUUUUAUCUCCAAAAGGUUUCUAUGUAGGGGGGAAAAUCUAUAUAUUUGUUUCAUUUUUUAACUUUGAUUGUGCAAUGUGCAUACACACAUAAGUGAACUGAUUACACAAAGAGAAAGGGCGGAGCAAGAAACUCGAAUUUUCCCUUGGGGGGGGGGGGGGGGGAGGGGACCUCCGCCCCUGCAAAUAUACUAUAAUAUAAAACACAUGUUUCUUUCAUGUAUUAUCGUGUACCUUUUAUUCCGAAGAUAGUCCCUAUUCAUUUUCACAAGCUGUGGAUAUUCACAUGUUUUGAGAGAAUGAUUUUCCUGCACCCUUGCAAUGUCUUGAUUUUGAUCUUCUGUAAUCUGGCUACUCUUAAGAAACUGCAAUAGUGUGUCACUGAGAAUCUUAUUGACAUUAGGGCUUCGGGUCACGGAGACAAAGGCGGUGCAGUCGAAUUGACUUCGAACCUUCUGGAAGACCUGAUUAGCAAGUGUUGUCUUGCCUAAUCCCCCAAAUCCAACAAUUGAAACCACCUUACGCUGUGUGUGCGAACUAAUGCCAUCGUUGAGCCAUUGGAUAAGUUUGUCCAUUUGAUCAUCUAUACCCACAAGUCUAUCCGCCUCCUCAAAGAGCGCAGGCAACCUGGGAUCGAUUGCCACGGACUUUGGAAGUAAGGUGGAUGGAUCGAUCUUAUACCUUUUGCGCCGAUCACUAACCUCCAUCACGCGUUCCUUCAGCUCAUUAAUCUGAAUACUGAUAUGAUAAUGUGCUUUCAGAGUGAUGACCUUUCUUAUGAUCUUCUGGAUGAACCCAUUGCAGGUUGCAGCACGGCCAAGGUGGUGCACGAAGAUGUCAAUGCAAUCCUCGACAUCAUAGGACAGCUCCCUCAACUGACCCAUCCACUCCUUUACUUGCGAG
rnacentral:lncRNA from 1 species